AACGAACGCUGGCGGCAGGCUUAACACAUGCAAGUCGAACGCCCCGCAAGGGGAGUGGCAGACGGGUGAGUAACACGUGGGAAUCUACCUAGUUCUACGGAAUAGCCCAGGGAAACUUGGAUUAAUACCGUAUACGCCCUAUGGGGGAAAGAUUUAUCGGAAUUAGAUGAGCCCGCGGUUGAUUAGCUAGUUGGUGAGGUAAUGGCUCACCAAGGCGACGAUCAAUAGCUGGUCUGAGAGGAUGACCAGCCACACUGGAACUGAGACACGGUCCAGACUCCUACGGGAGGCAGCAGUGGGGAAUAUUGGACAAUGGGCGCAAGCCUGAUCCAGCCAUGCCGCGUGAGUGACGAAGGCCUUAGGGUUGUAAAGCUCUUUUAACGGGGAAGAUAAUGACGGUACCCGUAGAAUAAGCUCCGGCUAACUUCGUGCCAGCCGCCGCGGUAA
rnacentral:rRNA from 1 species